GACGAACGCUGGCGGCGUGCUUAACACAUGCAAGUCGAACGGUGAAGGGGUCUGCUUUUGUGGGCCCUGGAUGAGUGGCGAACGGGUGAGUAACACGUGAGUAACCUGCCCCCUUCUUCUGGAUAACCGCAUGAAAGUGUGGCUAAUACGGGAUAUUCUGGGUCUGUCGCAUGAUGGGUCUGGGAAAGAUUGCGCCUUUGGGUGUUUUUGGUGGGGGAUGGGCUCGCGGCCUAUCAGCUUGUUGGUGGGGUGAUGGCCUACCAAGGCGGUGACGGGUAGCCGGCCUGAGAGGGUGGACGGUCACACUGGGACUGAGACACGGCCCAGACUACUACGGGAGGCAGCAGUGGGGAAUAUUGCACAAUGGGCGCAAGCCUGAUGCAGCGACGCCGCGUGAGGGAUGGAGGCCUUCGGGUUGUAAACCUCUUUCGCCAGUGAAGCAGGCCUGCUCCUUGUGGGUGGGUUGACGGUAGCUGGAUAAGAAGCGCCGGCUAACUACGUG
rnacentral:rRNA from 1 species